UACGUAGGUCCCGAGCGUUGUCCGGAUUUAUUGGGCGUAAAGCGAGCGCAGGUGGUUUAAUAAGUCUGAUGUAAAAGGCAGUGGCUCAACCAUUGUGUGCAUCGGAAACUGUUAGACUUGAGUGCAGUAGAGGAGAGUGGAAUUCCAUGUGUAGCGGUGAAAUGCGUAGAUAUAUGGAGGAACACCGGUGGCGAAAGCGGCUCUCUGGACUGUAACUGACACUGAGGCUCGAAAGCGUGGGUAGCAAACCGG
rnacentral:rRNA from 1 species